rnacentral:rRNA from 1 species
UACAUGGGGUGCAAACGUUGCUCGGAAUUAUUGGGCGUAAAGCGCGCGUAGGCGGUUACUCAAGUCGGAUGUGAAAGCCCUCGGCUUAACUGAGGAAGUGCACCCGAAACUGAGUAGCUAGAGUACCAAAGAGGGUCGCGGAAUUCCCCGGUGUAGAGGUGAAAAUUCGUAGAUAUCGGGAGGAACACCGGUGGCGAAGGCGGCGACCUGGGUGGAUACUGACGCUGAGGCGCGAAAAGCGUGGGGGGGAGCAAACAGG